CCCGCCUGCUGCUGAUCACCGGCACACCUGUCCUCAAUCAACCAUCAGUCUCCACAGCUCAAAUACCAGGCUCUCCCACACCACCAGCACCAGAUUGUCUUUGUACACUUGAUUAUCCUGUGCUGGUGAUCGCGGAUUCUGUCUCCUUCUGGAUUUCUACCAGCCUGUCUACCCGUCUCUCCAGCCACACUGCCUUGCCUGUCUCCGUAAGCUACACCUCUGAGCCAGACCUUUUGGACCUAACAUGCUCCACGCUACUGGUCCCGCUGCCAGAGCACCACAGACCCAGUAUCCAGCCUUACUCAGUCUCCCCCCACCAUCCCUCGUCUGUUCUCCAUCUUUCCUCCCUGCUUCGGGUAACAUCCCAUGUACUGAAAAAUAAAGACUUUCAAAGAUGCUGUCCUGCCCCUUGAAUCUAUAUGUGUCACAGCUGGAUGGCACCAGACCAAACUCCAAGGAUAAGAAGUGGUCAGCACCGCAAUUGUGUGUAAAUGGAACGCAUUCAGAUGCGGUGACAAAAAGCAGCUGGGCCAUGAAAUCAGAAGUGGAAGCUUCAAUAAAAAUGUGCCUCCACAAUGCCACAGACUACGGAAGCGUAAUGCAUACACUUGAGAAAAAACAAUCUUCUCUGUUUUUCUGAAUUAACAAGAUAAUUUUCUCAGAAUUACGAGAAGUUUUCUGAUCUGCUGGACAUUGUGGUGUUUCUCCAGGAUCAGUUGAACUGAUAGGGCAUGCUUCACGGAUAUAAGAUGAUGCAUCUGAAAUGUAUUCAGGCUGGCUAUGUGGCGACUCAAGAGACAAUCAGGCAAUUGCUGAAAAUACUGGAUACCCACGGAGUGCAACUGAGGCGCCGGAAUCGCCUUCAGUCAUGUUUGUAAUAGAAUCCAUGCCUGCACUUUUUAUGGCAUGUAGAUUCAUAUGAUAAACUCAAACCAUAUGAUAUAGCCACAUGCAUACCCUAAUAGUUGUGAUCCCAAGGUCAUUGCUGGAUACUUUAUUGAUGAGGUGUUAUCAAAGUAUCGGACUGCUACCCGAAUUCCAUCAGAUCUAGGGACAGAGAACUGUUACGCAGAUGUUCAUGAGACAUGAUCAUAUGGACGAAUUUGUAUGGGUCAAGCAAGCAUAACCAACGCCCAGAGCGCUGGAGGGGAUUUUUAAGGAACCAACAUGGACAGUUUUGGAUGAACAUAUUUCAUGAUUUAAAAGAUUCUGACUACUUCUCUGGUGACUUCCUAGACAAAAGUCUGAUACAAUUCCCAUUUAUAACUGUAUUGCUUUAGAUGAUGUAUAACUAAAACUUGUGAUUUGUUCUUUUAAGUUGUUUUUGUCCAUAGUGUCCUACGCCAUAAUGUUGUCAUGCAGCUCAAUUAAUUGAUUUCAUAGGUCUAACUGUUCCAUAACGGAAGAAAAUGAAUGAUAACCCAAUGGGGUCACCCUGGAAAGUGUGUUGAUAAGAUCCGAGAGCUUCAUGGUCACAAAAAUGGGAAUCAUUUUGCAGUAGCAUACUGACAGACAGUGGGCGUGGCUCUGAAAUAUCAGUAAUCUAACUGUGCUGUGUAUUGAUAAAUCCACGACGCUGGCCAUGGUGCUGAAGACGGAUUUGUAAUUGCAACUUUUUCUCUCAGUACCCCCCUUCUGUCAGUUUUGUCUUGGAUAUAUAAUAUUCUCUAAACUAUACACUAAAAUACUCAAUUCUAUACUAUAUUGUAGCCUAUAUAUUCUAUGGAGUAGUGUCACCUUUAUGAUCAAAGUGAUAAAUAGCAAUGUGCCAUGGGGUGCUAACCCCAACUUAAUCUAUAUUGUAGAUCCACAUUAUUAAUACAAAAUAUAAAUCAACUAAUACAUACCCAGCAGGAUAUAAAGUAUUUAAAUUUAGCCCCAUCUUUACCACCUGCAACAUCAGUGAUGCUUACACAUUAAUGCAUCACUAAU